rnacentral:lncRNA from 1 species
ACCCACUGAGGGAGAUGAGGAAACAGAGUUACGGCACCCUAGAGAAUGAGGGGCACCCAAUGCCAAAGCGCCAACAUACUGAGAAGAUGGGGAGGUAAACACAGAACAGACCCCGUCUGCUCUCUUUUAGCCCGUGGACUUCACGUGCUUGAUGAACCAGAACUCUGGGAGGCCAUUGCCUUGGCACAUGGAAUCCAAGGCUUAGCAAAAUUAAGGUGGCUAUCACUGGACAGCAUUUGUACUCCAAUAGCAUGCUGCUAGCCCCUGGCAGCCACCAUUCUACUGUCUGUUUCUAUGAAUUUGACUACUCUAGGUACCUCAUCCUGAGAUCUGAGCUCUACCGCUUUUCUCCUUAUGAACUCCAAGAGCACAGUACCAAAGGCAGCCCCUAGACAUUAGAAUUGCAAAAAAGGUCCAUCUUCCUCUUUCCAGUUAGAAGGACAGAAUUGAUAGCCAGGCCACUGCAUCCCCCAGCCUGUGCUUCAGUGUACAUCAGCGGAAGGAGCUGUGGGGUAAAGAUCCAAGCCAGGACACCACAUUACAUUGUUCUCAGGGCUCCUUUGGUUCCUGUUGACUAUGACCAUUUCUUAGAAUUACUUUGUUUUGAUGACCUUGACAAUAUUGAGGAGUACUGCUCAGGAAUAAUUUCGAUGUGACCCAGUGCAUCUUCUUUAGGAUCAUCACCAGGAAGCUGUGAGUGAUGUCACUGCCCUGAAUUGGUGAAGCACUGGGGUGUUUUUAUGCAGUUUAUGGUGGUGCUGCCUUCAUCCAGGCCUGUAAUUGGAAUCCUCAUGCUGUAGCUGCUCUGAGAAAAGAAAAAUCUAGAGAUAAAUGGAGUAGCAGAUCGGUGCCAAAUAUACUUUGAGGAUAACGGGAAGGUGAACACAGUGUGUCUUUCCAUCUGUGUUGUCUUCAAUUUCUUUCAUCAGUGUCAUAGUUUUCUGAAUACAGAUUUUUUACCUCCUCAGGCCCCUUAGCAUAUGGAAAUUCCAGGCCGAGGGAGAGAAUCUGAGCCAGAGUGCAACCUACACUGCAGCUACAGCAAUGUUGGAUCCUUAACCCACUGUGCCAGGCCAAGGAUCAAACUGGUGCCUCCACAGAGACAAGCCAGAUCAUUAACCCACUGUGUCACAGCAGGAACUCUAGGACUUUCUUCAAGGGUGAAUAAUGUUUCAUUGUAUGUAUAUGUGUGGCAGAGUGUGUGUAUGUGUUUGUGUGUGUUUGUGACAUCUUUGUUACCAUUCAUCCAUCAAAAGAUACUUAAUUUGUUUCCAUGCCUUAGCUAUUGUGAAUAAUUGCUGCAAUGAACAUAAGAGUACAGAUAUCUCUUCAAGAAUUAUUUUGUUUCCUGGAGUCCCUCUCGUGGCUCAGUGGUUAAUGAACUCGACUAGCAUCCAUGAGGACGCAGGUUUGACCCCUGGCUUCACCCAGUGGGUUAAGGAUCCAGCGUUGCUGUGAGCUGUGGUGUAGGUCGCAGACAUGGCUCAGAUCUGGUGUUGCUAUGGCUGUGGCAUAGGCCGGCAGCUGUAGCUCUGAUUGGACCCCUAGCCUGGGGACCUCCAUAUGCCACAGUUGCAGCAGUGAAAAGACAAAAAAAAGAAUUAUUUUGUUUCCUAAAAAUAGAGCUACUAUAUGAUCCAGCAAUCCUACUCCUGGGCAUAUAUCCAGAGAAAACUCUAAUUUGAAAAGAUACACGCACCUCAAUGUUCAUAGAAGCACUACGUACAAUAGCCAAGACAUGCAAGCAACCUAAAUGUCCAUUGACAGAUGAAUGGAUAAAGAAGAUGUGGUACAUAUAUACAAUGGAAUACUACUCAGCCAUAAAAGAGAAAUAAUGCCAUUUGUAGCAACAGGGAUGGACCUAAAGAUUAUCAUACUAAGUGAAGUAAGUCAUACAGAGAAAGUUAAACAUAUGGUAUCACUUAUAUGUAGAAUCUUUAAAAAAAUGAUAAAAAAGUGAUACAAAGGAACCUAUUUCCAAAAUAGAAAUAGACUUGCAGACAUAGAAAACCAACUUACAGUUUCCAAAAGGGAAAGGGGGGAGGGAUAAAUUAUUAGGAGUUUUGGAUUAACAGAUACACACUACUAUAUAUAAAAUAGGUAAACAAGGACCUACUCUCUAGCAUNUCAAUUCAAUAUUCUGAAUCACUUUGCUAUACACCAGAAGUAACACAACACUGUAAAUCAACUAUACUUCAAUAAAAAAGAAUUAUUUUGUUUCCUUUGGACAUAUACUCAGAAGUGAGAUUGUUGAAUCAUAUGGUAGUUCCAUUUUUAAUUUCUUGAGAAAUAUCCAUUCUGUUUUCCAUAGUGGCUGUGAUAGUUUACAUUCCUACGAGUAGUAUACAAGGGUUCUCUUUCCUCCACGUCCUCAAUAGCCUUUGUUAUCUCUUGCCAUUUGAUGAUAAACAUUCUAACAGGUGUGAGAUGAUAUGUAGUUGUGGCUUUGAUUUACUUUUCUCUCUUGGUUAGUGAUGUUGAGCACCUUUUCAUGAUGUACCCAUUAGCCAUCUGGGUUUCUUUUUUUGGAAAAAUGUCUAUUUAGUUCUUAUGCACAUUUAAAAAAUUAGAUUUUUUUCUUUUAUUUAUGUUUGUUCCUUUUAUUAUUAGGUUGUAUGUGUUGCAUAAAUUCUUUAUAUAUUUUUGAUAUUACUCCCUUAUUUGAUAAUGUGGUUUACAAAUAUUUUUUCCCAUUCCAUAAGUUGCCCUUUUAUUUUGUUGAUUGUUUCUUUUACAGUGCAAGAGCCUUUUAGUUUAAUGUAGUCCCACUUGUUGAUUUUUUGCUUUUGUUGCUUGUGUGUUUGGUGCCACAUCAAAAAAAAA